GGGAGCAUAGCUCAGUUGGUUUAGAGCAUCUGCCUUACAAGCAGAGGGUCGGGGGUUCGACUCCCUCUGCUCCCAC
rnacentral:tRNA from 1 species